GCACAAACUUUACCAAAAAUACCAUCAAAGCUCGCUACAAUUCCGCUCCCGCAUUUGUUGUUGACAAUACAGCGUUCCGUCGUCUUGUUGUCUCUCUGGCUGUUAUCGAAAAAUUCCAUUUAAUUAAAUUGAUUAAGUUUAAAAGCGUAUAAAUAUUCUACAGACAGCUGUAGCAAAGUGAACUUCCGUUAAGUGGGGAAAAUAGCCCAAAAUUUGAACCACAAUUUUCAUAACUUGCGAAAACGUGCGCUUACGUCGGUUUGCGUGUGAGAGAGUGUGUGUGGUGAAUUCUCCCACAUACCCCCCUGCAACCGCCCACCACUCUCGGUUCGGUCAGCGCGCAAAACGUAAAUUUCACUGCAAAUAAAUUGCUUUGCUCUUAUCUCGAGGCGCCCGCGCUCGCAUCAUGAAUAUGAGUGUGUGUUAAUGUGUGUGUGCCAGGGAAUGUUGUUAAUUAAUUUACAAAAGUCGGUCCUGCUGCUCCCCUCAGUGCAAUAUCCCCCAUAUCUACUAUAUAUGUGUUGUUGGUCCAAUAACAGAUAAAACGUUGGGAAACGAAGGGCAUCCGCAAUCGAAAGUGUGACCUUACAACAAUAACAACAUAACUACCGUUGCAGUUGGAUUGCAUUCGGGGCAGCCGCCCAACCACCCGACCUCUCCUCCCCAAGCUUCUGGCUUAGAAAACGAAAGUAAAGUUAUUUUUCAUGUACAAAGUAAACAGUCUCUCUGAGUACGCCAAGAGAGAGGAAAACGGAAAGAGCACGGAAGCCAGAGAGCGAGGGGACUUGAACACUUGGCCUUGAACUUGUGCGGACGCUCCUGCCAAAUGGCGGCUGACGUCACGAGGACCGAGGAGCAGCAGAGGAGUAGGCGUCUGCAGUAGGAGGUGUGUGCGCGGUGUGUGGGUAUAUGUGGAGGCCACUUUCAACUUUAAACUUUUCUGCUAUAUUUAGCACACUGCUAAAAAAAGAAUCCGAGCAAAUGGAAGAAAUGAGAUUUUAUUAUAAAGUCGAUUUUUAUUCAACAAAAAAGUGCUGCAUACUUUGUGGCGCCCGCUCUGAAGAGAGCACAAGAGCGGAGUGGUGGGUGUCGAAAAGUGUGGGUUACGGGGGGCCACUUAUCAAGAAAAAGAGACACCGCACAGACCCAUUUCCUGUGACAUUUUGCACUGAAACCACAAGUGAAACUCGAAAUCGCAGCUUGGAAACUCAUUACGAAUGCAGGAGGGCACUUUGACUGCAUUUCCUCCCCUCACCGAACCCACCCCUUCUACAAUUGUCUCUCUUUCUAUUGCUUGUGCUGUUUUAUGGUAGCCUUGAAAAGGGAAGAAAAACCUUCUUGGAAUUUAUGGUGGAUUUUGUAGUGUAAAAGGAGAGGGAAAAGAGAGAAAUUUACAGAAUUAAUGCCCAAAAUAAAAUUAUAAAAGGUUUCCAUGGAGCUAUGUGGCUUCUAAGGAGGCUUCUAAGAAGCUGAUCGAAAAUCGUAUAGUCGAUAUCUAAUAUCGAUAGCUGAUAUCGCGAGAAUAGGCAAUGGAUUCGCAAGACAUUCCCAUUCGAUUGUGGCCUUUGUUUUACUUGGUGUCUCUUUCUUUCGAAUACUUAAACAUUUGUGCCCCCCUUUUCUGCCGCUUGUAUUUGUAUGGGAGUGAUGCGAUUGGGCAGCCCUAAAUGCAAUAUGCAAAAGGCAUAAAAUGCAUGAAAAUCGCUCCUUCGGCCAAUGGGGUUAUCCACUUAUCAGCCUGGUCUCUGACAACAGGAACUACAUGGGAGGAGCCCCACUACUUCCCCCUAACCCGCACACACACUGGUUAAUGUGCCUGCGACGAUUGGGAUCUUGGGGUGCGUUAAGACCACACUUUUGAGCAGCUUGCCACAGGCUUGGUUUUAUGUACACAGGUCGAUGGCUCCUUCAGCCAAUAGGGUGAUACAUCCAUCAGCAAGGAUGGAUAGGCCUGUCGUUGGCAAAAAAUCUGACCGAAAAUCAGUUUCCAACCGGAGCUCGAAGCGACAAGAUGUGCAACUGGCCAAAUACCAACACCUGGCCAAGUCGAAUUAAUCUCCAAACCCAAAAAUAUGUCCAGACAUUUGGUAUGGAUCAUUGUAAUUAAAAGUAGUGCCGAUGAUCCUUUUAAUGAACGUUCACAGAGCAGGUUAAACGGAAGGGGACACCUUUUGCACUGGACGAGUAAAUAGGUGUGGAUAAUUACGUGAGUGUCAGUAGGCUGCCUCCUUGUCUGAUAGGUACUGCCGGUUUUGGGCAAAAUUAUCGUGUCACUCAUUAUUCAACGCAUUUUUACUUCGGGGAAGGCAAAAUGCGUAGAAAAGUGGGUGACAGGAUAAUGUUGGAUCGAAGCGGGCAAGACAUACAUAGACGAGCGGACAGCUUACUGAAACUUGCGUAUUUCUCCACACUUGUUGACUCUUCCAUUGCAAAGGGUAGCCGUUAUUCGUUUAACUUGCGCUUUGGAUGUACAUUAAAAGGUGCCAUUGGUAUUCCUUUUGAUUAUUCUGGUAUAUGCCAUGUUUUCUGUCAUAUUUUUGGGCUAGGCCUUUGAUUCGACUCGGCUAGCUGGGUAUUGGCCAGUGGCACGUCUUGGUGCCUUGAAUCUGAUUGAAAACUCACAUCCUGUCAGUGUUUGGCGGCAGACGCAGGCCCCUCAAUCGCUGCAGAGGUGGAUCAGUGGUGGUGGAGUUUCUGCCCUAAAGGAUAUACAUUUCACGGCUACCCAAAACACCGGACUUCAAAUUCUUCAAUACUACAACCAUCGUCCUAUCGUCCUCCAUCCAGCGUCUUUAAACCUAAUCGAAAAAUACACACUACUCAAAUAAUUCUAAUCAAUAUAAAGUUAAUCAAUCAAUCAAUACCUAUGUAAACUUAUUAAUAUCAAUAUACGCUACAUUGAAUAAAAAUGUAUUCCAUCAAAAGAG